AACGAACGCUGGCGGCAUGCCUAACACAUGCAAGUCGAACGAGACCUUCGGGUCUAGUGGCGCACGGGUGCGUAACGCGUGGGAACCUGCCUUUAGGUUCGGAAUAACUCAGAGAAAUUUGAGCUAAUACCGGAUGAUGUCUUCGGACCAAAGAUUUAUCGCCUUUAGAUGGGCCCGCGUUGGAUUAGCUAGUUGGUGGGGUAAAGGCCUACCAAGGCGACGAUCCAUAGCUGGUCUGAGAGGAUGAUCAGCCACACUGGGACUGAGACACGGCCCAGACUCCUACGGGAGGAAGCAGUGGGGAAUAUUGGACAAUGGGCGAAAGCCUGAUCCAGCAAUGCCGCGUGAGUGAUGAAGGCCUUAGGGUUGUAAAGCUCUUUUACCCGAGAUGAUAAUGACAGUAUCGGGAGAAUAAGCUCCGGCUAACUCCGUG
rnacentral:rRNA from 1 species